CCUACGGGAGGCAGCAGUGGGGAAUAUUGCACAAUGGGCGCAAGCCUGAUGCAGCCAUGCCGCGUGUGUGAAGAAGGCCUUCGGGUUGUAAAGCACUUUCAGCGGGGAGGAAGGCGUUAAGGUUAAUAACCUUGGCGAUUGACGUUACCCGCAGAAGAAGCACCGGCUAACUCCGUGCCAGCAGCCGCGGUAAUACGGAGGGUGCAAGCGUUAAUCGGAAUUACUGGGCGUAAAGCGCACGCAGGCGGUCUGUCAAGUCGGAUGUGAAAUCCCCGGGCUCAACCUGGGAACUGCAUUCGAAACUGGCAGGCUAGAGUCUUGUAGAGGGGGGUAGAAUGCCAGGUGUAGCGGUGAAAUGCGUAGAGAUCUGGAGGAAUACCGGUGGCGAAGGCGGCCCCCUGGACAAAGACUGACGCUCAGGUGCGAAAGCGUGGGGAGCAAACAGGAUUAGAUACCCUAGUAAUC
rnacentral:rRNA from 1 species